UAGUUAUUUUAACUUCGUAUUAUAUUUAAGUUUGAGAUGAUUUUUAAAGGCCAUGCAAGGAGAGCAUUAAUUAGAGAAGCAGCCAAGAGGCCCAUGGUAACUCUGGAGGAGCUGCAGAGAUCCACAGCUCAGUUUGGAGAAUCUGUCCACACUAUUAGUGUUGCACUCCACAAAUCUGGUCUUGGAAGAGUGGCAAGAAAAAAGCCAUUGUUGAAAGAAAGCCAUAAGAAAUCUCGUUUACAUUUUGUAACCAUCAUGUGGAAGAAGGUUCUCUGGUCAGAUGAGUCCAAAAUUGAACUUUUUGGCCAAAAUUCCAAAUGUUAUGUUUGGCAGAAACCUAACACUGCACAUCACCCUGAACACACCAUGGACAGAAGGGACAGUGAGGAUGGUCAGAGUUGAUGGGAAGAUGAAUGGAGCCAAAUACAGGGCAAACCUAGAUGAAAACCUGUUAGAGUCUGCAAAAGACAUGAGCCUGGGGCAGAGGUUCACCUUCCAGCAAGACAAUGACCCUAAACAUACAGCCGGAGCUACAAUGGAGUGGUUUAGACCAAAGCAUAUUCAUGUGUUAGAAUGGCCCAGUCAAAACAAGACCUAAAUCCAAUUGAGAAUCUGUGGUGAGACUUGAAAUUUGCUUAUGCUCACCAUCCAAUCUGACUGAGCUUGAGCUAUUUUGCAAAGAUAAAUGGGUAAAAAUGUCACUCUCUAGAUGUGCAAAGCUGGUAGAGACGUAUCCCAAAAGACUUGCAGUGGAAGGUUUGGUCUACAAAGUAUUGACUCAGUGGGGCUGAAUAAAAUUGCAUGCCAAACUAUUCAGAUAUUUAUUUGUAAAUAAAAUUUGGAGACCAUUUAUCAUUUUCCUUCCACUUCACAAUUAUUUUCCACUUUGAGUUGGUCUAUGACAUAAAAUCCUAAUAAAAUACAUUUUUGUUUGUGGUUGUAACGUGUCAAAAUGUGAAAAAGUUCAGUGGGUAUGAAUACUUUUGCAAGGCACUGUAUAUUAUAGGAAAAUCAAACUGAAGGUGAAAAGACUAGAUUCAUGGAUGAGUAUUUUUCCAUCAGUGAUUGUGUUAUUCCUUAAGAAUUACAGAUUUACAGUAUUACAUAAUUUCAUGUGAUGAAUACAUAUUUAACCCUAUAUAUGUAAAUAUCCCAUUCAUUUGUUUUAUAGAUUUUGCAGCAGACCAAGUUGAUUGUGGCUCAUUAAGCAGCUCAUAUGGAUUCCUUUAAUAUGUUCCUCUAUGUGUCAUGUGUUACCAUCAUCAUACCGACUCUAAUGUCUGUUCAGUUGAUAAAACACACAUUUAAUGUCUUCUGUUAUUAAAGAAUGAUAGAAUUUCAACAAGUUAUUUAACUUCUCAUAAUUUCUAGAAAACUGAAGUGAAAUUUGCUUAGCAGUAAUACACUGGAAAAGCAUUAAAAAAAGCUUCUGGGCUUGGCACUGUAGCACGGCCACAACACGGAAACUUGUCACAAGUUAACUGUUCAAUAAAAAACACAUGUACUGACUCAUGUUAAUUUAAACCAUGACAAUACGUGCACCACCGCAAACACACGAACGGAGGAAAGGCCGCUCUUCGUCCAGUGCAUCGGCAACCCUGAAGCGAGAGUGAGAGUGGAACAGCCGGCGGUUCAGCACUUUGGCCUACGGCGCUAACCGCGAACUCCCGAUCUCCAGCACCGUGGCCAGCACCGCGGCAAGUGAGAGCGAUGCGGAGCGGCCGAAACUCACGCUGAAAAUCACCGACCGAUUUUAUUUAAUUCUGAUCAUUUUCUAUUACAGUUUUUUUUGUCAGUGCGUUAAUCAUUAAUAAAUAAAAUGUGUCAGUACUGGUAAAGAAAUCACUAGCAUUAAAGUUGAUAACUUCUUAAUUCUGAGGUGUAAAUACUGUAAUGUUAAAUCCUCAUUAGGUGUGAAUACAUUAACUUAACAAUGUUAACAAUGACUGGUUUUAUUUUAUUUAAUGUCAUUGAAUUCCGCUAGUAUUUUCUUAUACUGUAGUAAUGGGCUUGUACAUGAUUUAUUCAUCUCACUGCUGAUCUUACUGAUGUUGUGUAUCCCACUAUUUCUGAUGUGAUACCCAAAGUGGCUGUUGGAGAAAUUAAAUCCAUGUCCUACCAACAUCAAGAUAUGAAUUAACUAUUGGUGUUAAGGUUACAUAUGUUUCAGAGACCAAUGAAGAGAAAAUGGAGCUCACUGUGUUCAUCAGUUUUUGUGCAACACUUUGGGGACAUACUGUACACAUGGCUGUGAUGUCCAGGUGUCCUGUACUGUAUAUUAAACAGCUACAGAGAACUUGGAGAAGGUUAAGUUAGGUUAAGCUACCAGUAGCAUGUGCCACUAAUAUUGACAUGUGUACGUUAUGGAACAGUGUGUUAUGUAGUAGAUGUUAUGGCCAAAGUGGACAAAGUCUAAAGGAAUAGAUAAUAAUUAUAGUGGAGAAAGUAUAUAAGUAUAGAAAACAAUUUAUUAUGUUAAUUAAUAAGAAUGAAUUAGAUUAAAUGUGCUCAAGUAGUGUAUGAGUGUUUGUUUACAUCAGCAUAUAGUAACAUUUUACUGGGAAGACUGGGACUUGUGGUAGUGCUCAGGAAGAAUCUAGAAUAAUACAUAAUUAUGGAAAAAACAAGUCAGAAUCUUAGUUUCAAUUGAGACUGAUUUUAUUGAUGGAAAUUAUAACAGAUUAUAAUCUGAAAAUGUCAAAAGAAAAGAAACAAAGUGUUACACAAAGCUAGAGUCAAACUAGAGCUAAAAAAAUAACAAAAUGAGAUGUUUUAGUCUUGCACCACUGGUAGACUAGCAGAAUAAAUUGUCUGAACCAGCAAAAUAAAUCAAAUCAAUUUUUUUAUUGGUUAACAGCUUUGG